UACAGAGGGUGCGAGCGUUAAUCGGAUUUACUGGGCGUAAAGAGCGCGCAGGCGGUCGUUCAAGUCGCGUGUGAAAGCCCCCGGCUCAACUGGGGAGGGUCACGCGAUACUGAUCGACUCGAAGGCAGGAGAGGGUAGUGGAAUUCCCGGUGUAGUGGUGAAAUGCGUAGAUAUCGGGAGGAACACCAGUGGCGAAGGCGACUACCUGGCCUGUUCUUGACGCUGAGGCGCGAAAGCUAGGGGAGCAAACGGG
rnacentral:rRNA from 1 species